ACUCUGUUUUUGGGGGAGGGGGUGUUACACAACUUUAUCAUUGUUGGCAAGCAAAGUAACAGUGAUGUUUAUUACUUUUGGUGGUCAGCUAGUGAUGUGUCAGAAACUUUGUCAGCAAGGUCGGUUUAUCUUAGAAUUCAAACUUAGGCCAGGGUCCCAGGGACCGUUAUUAUUGUUAUGGCUAAUUUUGAGAACAGCUAGUCUUGCUAUGGCAGUUGUGGUCAUUUUGACCAUUAGUCAGUCCCCUCAGAUGGGGAAGGAGCCAGGCAGUCUUGAGCUGCUUUACACUGGCAGGGAAAGGCUUGUUUAUAUUAGCAGGGAAAGGGCAAGGAGCAGGGGGAUGGGAAAGGCUUCUGCAAACAGCUUUGAUGUACAUUAGCC
rnacentral:lncRNA from 1 species